rnacentral:rRNA from 1 species
UACGGAGGGUGCGAGCGUUGUCCGGAAUCACUGGGCGUAAAGGGCGCGUAGGCGGCGCGGGAAGUCCGUGGUGAAAGCCCGAGGCUCAACUUCGGGUCGGCCAUGGAUACUCCUGGGCUCGAGCACUGUAGAGGCAGGUGGAAUUCCGGGUGUAGCGGUGGAAUGCGUAGGAGCGUCGAAGAACACCGGUGGCGAAGGCGGCCUGCUGGGCAGUAGCUGACGCUGAGGCGCGACAGCGUGGGGAGCAAACAGG